UAGGAAAUAUAUCCUAUGCGGAUUCGCCGACCGAUAUCCAUGGACCGACCGAUGACGAUGAAUUGUUCGUAGGUAACUUACCCUAUGCGGAGUUACCGACCGAUUACGAUGAAUUGUUCUUCACGGAAAUUCCGCCACUAAGCGCUAGCUGUAACGGCGAGUGCGCAGACGUGACCAGCAGCCGGAAAAUUCAGACAUAUUUUGAAAAAUCGG
rnacentral:lncRNA from 1 species